rnacentral:misc_RNA from 1 species
UUUCCGUAGGUGAACCUGCGGAAGGAUCAUUAUCAAACAGCGGACUUCGGUCCUUGCUGCACCCUUGUCUUUUGCGCACCGUUUGUUUCCUCGGCGGGCUUGCUCGCCGAUUGGACAACUAUUAUACUCUUUUGUAAUUGUAAUCAGCGUCUGAAUAAACUAUAAUAGUUACAACUUUCAACAACGCAUCUCUUGGUUCUGGCAUCGAUGAAGAGCGCGGC